rnacentral:rRNA from 1 species
AUGACAAUUAACAAGGCGCAGGGUCAGACCAUCCCAAACGUCGGUAUUUACCUUCCCGAGCCAGUAUUCUCACAUGGCCAGCUGUAUGUUGCAUUGUCAAGGGGAGUGUCGAGAGAGAGACAACACGGGUUUUGGCCAAGCCAAACCAGGAGGUUGAUAAAUCCGGGAAAAUUACCAAGAACAUUGUCUACAGAGAUGUUUUGGACAGAUGAGGUAGGUGCGUUAUUCCAUUAUUGUAUCUAUAUAACUAAUUCUGAGCCUAACAAUUUUCUCUUAUUUUAUUUGCAGGUUUUGAUCAGAACGCACCACAUAAUAAGCAUGAAAGAAGAAUGGUGUCGAUGUGACCUCCGACUCUGUGUGCCGGAGUCGUUUAUUUGUGUGAUUUAUUUGUAA